rnacentral:rRNA from 1 species
CGGUGACAGGUGGUGCAUUGGUUGUCGUCAGCUCGUGUCGUGAGAUUGUUGGGUUAAGUCCCGCGACGAGCGCAACCCUAUUGUUAGUUGCCAUCAUUCAGUUGGGCACUCUAGCGAGACUGCCGGUAAUAACCGGAGAAGUGGGGAUGACGUCAAAUCAUCAUGCCCCUUAUGACCUGGGCUACACACGUGCUACAAUGGUUGGUACAACGAGUUGCGAGUCGGUGACGGCGAGCUAAUCUCUUAAAGCCAAUCUCAGUUCGGAUUGUAGGCUGCAACUCGCCUACAUGAAGUCGGAAUCGCUAGUAAUCGCGGAUCAGCACGCCGCGGUGAAUACGUUCCCGGGCCUU